CUUGCUCUCUUCCUUGAUAAUGUCAUAGGCCUGUUGCUCCUUUGCCUUUGCAGAGGCAUUUGCAGCACACCCAAAGUUCUCAUGAAAACUAGAAGAAGAUGGACAAGAAAUAUCAGAGAAAUUUGCCAGAUAUCCUUAAAGAUGUUUGGCCAGGUGAUUUAGACCCUGCUUCUGACUUGUGCAACUGCUCCAGCACUGCUUGUGCUAUUGGGACCAUCAUGGCAGUGGUGGCAGUAUUGCUGAUCCACAUGGACAGGAAGGCAGUCACAACCAUGAAGCCCAUGAGAAGUCUGACGUGAAAAGGUUGGCCUCCAGCUGCAGCAUGGCCAAGGGGGAAUAAGUAACGAUGUGGAAUGAUUCCUGUCUGUUCCUCAGACGCAGCACAUCCACAGAGAUUUUCUCCACUGAAAGGUGAGUCCUGUUGCUUGCACAGAUGCUAUAACCAGGCUCUGCAAGUGUGUUACAGCAGAAUGACUGGUUUAUGUGUUCAGGGGCAUUGGUCAGAGCUUCACUUGUAGCCCAUUAACACUCCCUCAGUGGUGUCAAAGGACUGAUGUCAGUUUGCAUUAACUUGGAACCACUCCAGUUUAUGUAGACGGGUUAAUCUAACACUGAAUCGGGUCCUUGGAAUUAAAAAUACAACUUGGUUUUUCCUUCCUGAUCUGCUCUUCCAGUCAGACCAAGCCCAGCAGGGAACCAAACAGCACAGCCAAAACCUCUGUGUUGCAGCUCUAAGUUAUUUUGUCCUUUCAAAACAAGUAUUUUCUAAUGUGCUGUGAAUCAAUAGGAGUGAUUACACAUUGCAAACCGCAACAGUUGUCAGAUCCUAGUGCA